rnacentral:rRNA from 1 species
CCUACGGGGGGCUGCAGUGGGGAAUAUUGGACAAUGGGCGCAAGCCUGAUCCAGCCAUGCCGCGUGGGUGAAGAAGGCCUUAGGGUUGUAAACCCCUUUCAGCGGGGAAGAUAAUGACGGUACCCGCAGAAGAAGUCCCGGCUAACUCCGUGCCAGCAGCCGCGGUAAUACGGAGGGGACUAGCGUUGUUCGGAAUUACUGGGCGUAAAGCGCACGUAGGCGGAUUGUUAAGUCAGGGGUGAAAUCCCGAGGCUCAACCUCGGAACUGCCUUUGAUACUGGCAAUCUCGAGUCCGGAAGAGGUGAGUGGAAUUCCUAGUGUAGAGGUGAAAUUCGUAGAUAUUAGGAAGAACACCAGUGGCGAAGGCGGCUCACUGGUCCGGUACUGACGCUGAGGUGCGAAAGCGUGGGGAGCAAACAGGAUUAGAUACCCUUGUAGUCCC